GAUGAAGAACGUAGCGAAAUGCGAUACGUAAUGUGAAUUGCAAAUUCAGUGAAUCAUCGAGUCUUUGAACGCACAUUGCGCCCCCUGGUAUUCCGGGGGGCAUGCCUGUCCGAGCGUCAUUGCUGCCCAUCAAGCACGGCUUGUGUGUUGGGUCCUCGUCCCCCCCGGGGGACGUGCCCGAAAGGCAGCGGCGGCACCGCGUCCGGUCCUCGAGCGUAUGGGGCUUUGUCACCCGCUCUGCAGGCCCGGCCGGCGCUGGCCGACGCGAAAGCAACCAUUUUUUCUCCAGGUUGACCUCGGAUCAGGUAGGGAUACCCGCUGAACUUAAGCAUAUCAAUAAGCGGAGGA
rnacentral:misc_RNA from 1 species